UUGGGCGUAAGCGCGCGCAGGCGGUUUCUUAAGUCUGAUGUGAAAGCCCACGGCUCAACCGUGGAGGGUCAUUGGAAACUGGGGAACUUGAGUGCAGAAGAGAAAAGCGGAAUUCCACGUGUAGCGGUGAAAUGCGUAGAGAUGUGGAGGAACACCAGUGGCGAAGGCGGCUUUUUGGUCUGUAACUGACGCUGAGGCGCGAAAGCGUGGGGAGCAAACAGGAUUAGAUACCCUGGUAGUCCACGCCGUAAACGAUGAGUGCUAAGUGUUAGAGGGUUUCCGCCCUUUAAUGCUGCAGCUAACGCAUUAAGCACUCCGCCUG
rnacentral:rRNA from 2 species